AUUGAACGCUGGCGGCAGGCCUAACACAUGCAAGUCGAGCGGAUGAAGGGAGCUUGCUCCUGGAUUCAGCGGCGGACGGGUGAGUAAUGCCUAGGAAUCUGCCUGGUAGUGGGGGAUAACGUCCGGAAACGGGCGCUAAUACCGCAUACGUCCUGAGGGAGAAAGUGGGGGAUCUUCGGACCUCACGCUAUCAGAUGAGCCUAGGUCGGAUUAGCUAGUUGGUGGGGUAAAGGCCUACCAAGGCGACGACCCGUAACUGGUCUGAGAGGAUGAUCAGUCACACUGGAACUGAGACACGGUCCAGACUCCUACGGGAGGCAGCAGUGGGGAAUAUUGGACAAAGGGCGAAAGCCUGAUCCAGCCAUGCCGCGUGUGUAAAGAAGGUCUUCGGAUUGUAAAGCACUUUAAGUUGGGAGGAAGGGCAGUAAGUUAAUACCUUGCUGUUUUGACGUUACCAACAGAAUAAGCACCGGCUAACUUCGUG
rnacentral:rRNA from 1 species